rnacentral:rRNA from 1 species
UCCGCAGCCGCGGUAAUACGUAGGGGGCUAGCGUUAUCGGGAAAUACUGGGGCGUAAAGGGUGCGUAGGCGGUCUUUCAAGCCAGAAGUGAAAGGCUACGGCUCAACCGUAGUAAGCUUUUGGAACUGUAGGACUUGAGUGCAGGAGAGGAGAGUGGAAUUCCUAGUGUAGCGGUGAAAUGCGUAGAUAUUAGGAGGAACACCAGUAGCGAAGGCGGCUCUCUGGACUGUAACUGACGCUGAGGCACGAAAGCGUGGGGAGCAAACAGGAUUAGAUACCCUGGUAGUCCACGCCGUAAACGAUGAGUACUAGGUGUCGGGGGUUACCCCCCUCGGUGCCGCAGCUAACGCAUUAAGUACUCCGCCUGGGAAGUACGCUCGCAAGAGUGAAACUCAAAGGAAUUGACGGAA